UACGGAGGGUGCGAGCGUUGUCCGGAAUCAUUGGGCGUAAAGAGCUUGUAGGCGGUUUGUCGCGUCUGCUGUGAAAUUUCGGGGCUCAACCCCGAACUUGCAGUGGGUACGGGCAGACUAGAGUGUGGUAGGGGAGACUGGAAUUCCUGGUGUAGCGGUGAAAUGCGCAGAUAUCAGGAGGAACACCGAUGGCGAAGGCAGGUCUCUGGGCCAUAACUGACGCUGAGAAGCGAAAGCAUGGGGAGCGAACAGG
rnacentral:rRNA from 1 species